GACGAACGCUGGCGGCGUGCUUAACACAUGCAAGUCGAGCGGUAAGGCCUUUCGGGGUACACGAGCGGCGAACGGGUGAGUAACACGUGGGUGAUCUGCCCUGCACUUCGGGAUAAGCCUGGGAAACUGGGUCUAAUACCGGAUAUGACCUCCUAUCGCAUGGUGGGUGGUGGAAAGAUUUAUCGGUGCAGGAUGGGCCCGCGGCCUAUCAGCUUGUUGGUGGGGUAAUGGCCUACCAAGGCGACGACGGGUAGCCGACCUGAGAGGGUGACCGGCCACACUGGGACUGAGACACGGCCCAGACUCCUACGGGAGGCAGCAGUGGGGAAUAUUGCACAAUGGGCGAAAGCCUGAUGCAGCGACGCCGCGUGAGGGAUGACGGCCUUCGGGUUGUGAACCUCUUUCAGCAGGGACGAAGCGCAAGUGACGGUACCUGCAGAAGAAGCACCGGCUAACUACGUG
rnacentral:rRNA from 1 species